CAAUAGUGGCAGGAAAUUUCUCAUUUACAUUCAAAUCCUGGGCUCCCCCCCCCUCUAAUCACCAUAGACUUACUAUCAGAGUAAGAAUGAAGAACCUGAGGCCCUGGCUGCAAAACAAGUGAAGGUGCCUUUCAUACUGAAGCUACAUCUAUGGUGUUAAGGCAGAGCACAUGACUUCCCAGAGGAGCCUUGCGAGGGUUGGUCAUGUUUGACAGUGGUGCCAAUAGGCUGCAAGGCUGAACAGUCUAUUUCUGUUUCCUGCUCCUGUCAACUUAGAUGCCUUCUGUUUUCCUGUUCUCUCUGAUUAUACCCUUUCUGAUCCCAUCCUGCCAACUCAACCAGCCAAAUUGGACUUGGGGAUGGUAUUUCCUUUUUCAUAACUGUUUUACUGUCUGCCUCUCUAUGUCUUGGCAGUUUUUCUCUCUGCAAAUCAGUGAAAGAAAGGAUGCUCACUUCUCUGGAAAGAACAAUGGCUUUCCUGAGAGUUUUGUGUUUUCAGCUUACAGGAAGGCAGAGAAACAGAAGGAAGAUUCCCUCAGAAACUGAUUUGUCCUGACAGGAUCAAGUGAUGCAGUUCCUUAGGGAGAGUUCCUGCAGAUCCCUAGCAAGCUGGCCCACCACUGCCAUCUCCAGGUGAGCUGGCCAUGUUUAACCAUCCACUUGACAAUGGGAGGAUUCCAGUCCUCAGGUUUGUCUCCUAGUGACCUUGUUUCCUUGGUAUGGUGAUCAGAGUGGAAAUGUUUUCUUGCUGAUGAUUUGUGCCUUUUUUUCUAAAUAUACACCUGGUUUAUCAUGAGCAAAUUCCUGAACUGGAAGCCAGGAUUAUCUGUGCACCAUUCUGGGAGGUCAUGGCAAAAGGCUCCCAUGAGCUCAUGUUCAAAGCUUUGUGAAGAGCUGAGUAGCUGGAGAAGCCAUAGCCUCUGUUUCCUCCUCAGGUUUCUCUGGCUUUGGUCCACCCCUGAAGGUAGCUCUGUCAACUGUGCUUCAGAAACGCAUACACAGAAAAGGUUUUUAAAAAGAGAACUUGCUGCUUGAUCAGGGAAUUGCAGUUUGUUCUAGCACUCAAAUGCUCAGAGACUAUUACCCCCAACAGAUUAUCUUGCAAUGAAAAGGUUUAAACAGCCAAACCACCUACGUUUGUGUAAAAAAGCAACAUAAAUUGAUCAGGCAGUUGUCAACUGGAUCUGAGAUGUGGGAUGAAAUAUGAGAGCUAAAUCGAAGUGUAAUUACCAAGAGUGUAAUAAUUAUUGAUGUGGCAAUCCAGGUUUUCAAAGAUGUUUGUUACUAAAAGAAAAUCUUCAGAUAUUUCAACAUCUCCCCUGUAACUUCUGUUCCUAGGAAUCUCUCAAGAAUUGCCCUAACUUGAUAAUUUGUCUUUAUUUGUCGCUCAUGUUACUUGCUGAAACAUCGAUGGCUCAUGAGCUACAAGUGAAACUCAUUGCUAAAUGAUCUUUUAUGUAUUCUGAGAUCUGGACAUUUAGGCAACAUGCUGUUUUUCACACCAGUGUCCCAGAGGAAUUCCUUUCAGACUGGUUGGGAUAUGGGAUGAGUUGGAGCACCCUGAGUAACUGAUUCCCAGCAUUAGGUCUGAUGCAACCUGUUCCCCUCCAAUUCUUUCUGUUGCCGUCUGGUAGCUACGUUGCUACAUUUCCCACUUUUGUAAAGUUGUAUCUUGCAAACACUUCCCUUAGUCAGAAGACAAACACUUCAGGCAUUGCUUUUAUGCCUUGCUUUUUCUUUUCGUUAUGGAAUUUCCUGCGAGGUGCUGCACUGGCCACAGUGAGAACACGACCAUGAGGAAUGGGUGCAUGAGAAUUUUCACCUUCUAAAAUGGAGAUUUGUGAUCCAGUGACUUCAACCUUUCCCUUUCAGGCUCAUCUCUUGUUGUAUUUGACUUGAAUCACAUGGAGGAGAAAGGCUAAGGACCAGCAGCAGAUGCAGGAACAUUACUUAAUAAAUUGCUAAUACAUCCUCAUUAACAAAGAAGCCCUUCCAGAGUGGAUAUUAAGACGAAGAGCUUUUGGCAUUUGUGCAGACUUAAGGGAACAUCUGUGUUUGUGAUGGCAGAAGAUUCAUUGUGUGAUAAUAGAAACAGAGCCUCAAAGGAAAAUAGUUUUGCUGAUAAAAAAAAAUUCUUGCCGAUAAACCAUUGUGCUGCUUGUUCUGCCCACCAUGAGCCUGGUCUACAUUGUAUCUAGAGAUAAUCAGCUGGAUUUGUUUUCCAGCCUAAGGAUAUUUUGUAUCUUCAUUAUGCACUCUCUACUUGGGGUUUGCAGACUUUACCAAGUAAUGUGACCCAGAACACCAAAACUUCUGUGAUGGAGAAAAGCAUGGGAAAUUCAGCUGCUCUGGUCCCAGCAGAGCUUGGAGCAGUGUAUUCUGUCCUGGCCAGUAUCACAGAGAUGCUGAUGGAAAGGCGGUGUUGGUGCUGACUAUAGGAAGGGUGUUAGGGGACUCUC